AAUCCGUGAUGAACACAGCCAAACCCGGGCGUCAGAAUACAUUCCUGUCUGCCUGACCAUGAGCUCUGCGGUUCUGAGA